ACACGACUCUCGGCAACGGAUAUCUCGGCUCUCGCAUCGAUGAAGAACGUAGCGAAAUGCGAUACCUGGUGUGAAUUGCAGAAUCCCGCGAACCAUCGAGUCUUUGAACGCAAGUUGCGCCCGAGGCCAUCCGGCCGAGGGCACGCCUGCCUGGGCGUCACGCCA
rnacentral:rRNA from 1 species